rnacentral:rRNA from 1 species
UACGGAGGAUCCAAGCGUUAUCCGGAUUUAUUGGGUUUAAAGGGUGCGUAGGUGGCUGUAUAAGUCAGUAGUGAAAUCUCGGAGCUCAACUCCGAACGUGCUAUUGAAACUGUACAGCUUGAAUUCAGACGAGGCAGGCGGAAUGUGUAAUGUAGCGGUGAAAUGCAUAGAUAUUACACAGAACACCGAUAGCGAAGGCAGCUUGCCAGACUGCGAUUGACACUAAUGCACGAAAGCGUGGGUAGCGAAC